rnacentral:rRNA from 1 species
UACGUAGGGGGCAAGCGUUGUCCGGAUUUAUUGGGCGUAAAGAGCGUGUAGGCGGCCAGGUAGGUCCGCUGUGAAAACUCGAGGCUCAACCUCGAGAUGUCGGCGGAAACCAUCUGGCUAGAGUCCGGAAGAGGAGAGUGGAAUUCCUGGUGUAGCGGUGAAAUGCGCAGAUAUCAGGAAGAACACCAGUGGCGAAGGCGGCUCACUGGCCCGAUACUGACGCUGAUGCACGAAAGCGUGGGGAGCAAACAGG